rnacentral:rRNA from 1 species
AUGCCCUGCGUCCUCCGCGCUUUUGAAAUGUUACGCCCUUUGGCACUAUUCCCCUGUGGCUCACGGUCGUAGUAUACAACCGACAGGUCUACACAUUUAUG